CAGCUCUACCUCAUGCCUGUGACCAGAUGGGAGCCUGUCUCUGACACGAUAGCCGACUCCUAGGAUCAGAGAGCAGACAGAGAAAAGGGAUCUGUUUCCCUUAGAAGGAAAACAUUUGCUUUCAAGACUCCACUUCCAAUGUGUUCACGUGUCGGGCUGUUCAGCAAACUGGCCUUACUUUUUCCUUCAUAAUGCAGUAGCAUGUAGCUGAGAACAGAAAAAAGCAGUCCCUGACAUCCAGGAACUGGCCUGACACUUACAGGUAGGCCUCAGUGGUAUUGAAAGAUAGCUUAGUGCUCACAGCUGAGCCACAUUAUCCUGUUGGACAUAAGCAGUCUCACAGAACAUCAGCAUCAGGGUCACUCAGACCAUAAUGAUGGGGGGCCACUUUAUAAUUUUGUCUAAGCAUAGACAACAAGGUUGCUAGGCAACCCUCAAAAUAUACCAGAUAUCCCUUCUUCCAGCUAAUGUGAGUGGCUACUACUUUUUACCUCUAAUUGGUAAAAAGGAGUAGCUUCACACUAGUCUGCUGUCAUUUCUGGGGUACAUGGCUUUGGUUUUUUCCCAGUCUCUUUGCCCUUUAUCACUGAUGUUUACAAUGUGUUUUAUCCCUUUGUGACAGGACCCAGGGAUCACUCCUGCGUUUAAAUUAGGUACUUAACAACAGUAACAAAG
rnacentral:lncRNA from 1 species